UUCUGCUGAAACUUUAAUUUUUCCAUCUGCCACUUCAAAAGCAGUGCCCCGGCGAGAUGUUCUCGUGGAGAUGCACUGAACUCUAAUUCCUUGGGGGCGGUUGUAUGGAUGUCUUCCCCUUGAAGCCAUUCUACAGAAUUUCAGAUCUUCAGAUAGACCUCUUCUCAAAGCGGGGACAUGAAUACACCAAGGACCAGAGAUAGUUUGCUCUCACACUGCACCUCCAUGGUCCGAAAGCAUACAGUUACCUGAGCGAUUCUAUGCAUCUUCCCCUGCCACAUUCACAUACAUUGCAACGGUGGAUGCAGUCAGUGGAUGCCAAGCCUGGGCUCAACACAAUGAUGUUGGACAUGUUGCAGAGAAGACGUGAAGAAGACCCUGCUAAAUAUGGCUCUGUGGCCCUCAUGUUGGAUGCCAUGGCCAUCAAAAAAACAUGUCCAAUACAAUCCCCAUACCCAGAAAAUGUCUGGAUAUGUGGAAUGGUGCUUGUUUUUAUGGUGGUAGGCAUACAGAGUCAUUGGAAAGCUCCAGUUGCCUACUACCUCACAAAGUCUCUGUCACCAGACACACAGAAGGCAAUUUUAACAUGCUGUAAUAAAUUAUUUAUAUGGUAUUUUGAGCUAAAACUUCACAUAUGUGCUCUGGGGACACCAAAGAUUUAUUUGACAUCUUAAAAAAGUCUUGUGCAUGGCCCCUUUAAAGUUUACAUUUGAAGAGUUUCAUUGCAAAACAAGAUAACUCCAUUUUAAAAAUUAAAAAUUUCAGAAAUCUCAUUUUUUGGUUGUGCAUUCCAAUUAAUAUAAAUUCAACUGCAGUUGCUUUGUUUUGAUUUAAACCUUCAUAACUUAAAAAAUACAGCUAAAUAGCACCAUAAAACAAAAUAAUAACAUGAUAACAUAAUAAUAAGCAUGUUUUGACAAAAAUGUUAAAAAAUGGAUUUAUUUCGUUUUGCAACGAAACUCUUCAUUUUUUGUCUAAAAACUAGACUACUUAGGUCAUUUUGCUCAUCAAGA